rnacentral:rRNA from 1 species
UACGAAGGGGGCGAGCGUUGUUCGGAAUUACUGGGCGUAAAGGGCGCGUAGGCGGCCGAUCAAGUCAGAUGUGAAAGUCCUGGGCUUAACCUGGGGACUGCAUUUGAUACUGAUUGGCUUGAAUUCGGGAGAGGAUAGCGGAAUUCCCAGUGUAGAGGUGAAAUUCGUAGAUAUCGGGAGGAACACCGGUGGCGAAGGCGGCAUCCUGGACCGGCAUUGACGCUGAGGCGCGAAAGCUAGGGGAGCAAACGGG